rnacentral:tRNA from 1 species
GCCGAUGUACUCAAGUGGUUAAGGGGGCGGUCUGCAAAACCGCUAUUCGCUGGUUCGAAUCCAGCCAUCGGCUCAA